rnacentral:lncRNA from 1 species
AUGGCAUCACAAGGCUGCGGCUGUUUGUGGCCUGAAGGCAAGGAAAAAGCUGAUGCUGGGAUGAAAUCAGAACUGGGCUGGACUCAGUCUUUCAGAGACAUCUGCCUUCAUGUCUGUCUUCUGGAAAUGCAGGAUCCACGGCCACACACAGAAGAAUCGACUUUGAAAAGUUUGAAUGAAUAUUAUGAACGCUUGUGAUACAUGGACCCAGAAUCAGGCAGAUGUCUUCAGAGAGUGAGGAAGCCUUACAUUCAUCUGCUUCUUCUGUAUCUCCGGAACCCAGCUUCCUGAGGAAGAAAACAUCUCAAAAUCUUCCUGACAAGAGCUCUAGAAUAAAUUGCUCACAGAAUCAAAGUGGAGUUACA